rnacentral:miRNA from 1 species
CUGGGCCCGCGGCGGGCGUGGGG